CACUCCAGCCUGGCAAUAGAGCAAGACUCCGUCCCAAAAAAAAAAAAAAAAAGGCUAAGAUAGGGAAACUUUCAAGCAGCAAAUCUCUAAAGAUUACUUUCAGUAUAAACAUGUAUGAUUAUGAGAUUAUGACAUCUUAAGGUACCUUCAGCCAAAGUCCAUAUACUGCAAUAGCUGCUACAGAUAAGAAAGGCAUCAAUAUAAAAGACUUCCCAAUCUAGAAGUGUCUUAUUAAAUCGGCACUAGUAUGAAUAGAUGCCCUUCCACUGUUUACAAGAGGCAGAGACUUUGAAUUCAUUUUUUUCCCAACAAAAAACAACUCACCUGUGAAGCCGGAUAUCCUGGAACCUGCCCCCUAAGAGGGGGUGCUUCAGUCUGACAGUCCUGCUGGGGAUAGAUCCAACGAGAGACUGGAGUUGGGCUGUUGCCAGAUGAACGGUACGAGGAUACCCAUGACCAAAGAAUUCCAUGCAGGAUGAGUUGGAAUAAACAGUCUGCAAUGUAUUCCCUGAGCAGAAGACCAUGAACCACCACUUUGUUAAAACUACUAAGAGGCUGUUAAGGUCUUCGGGCAUAAACAAAGAACUCCUUAAUACAUCACACACACAAUUGGAGACUUAAUAAAACAUUAUGUGACUUUUUGUACUGUUGUUCAACUUCUAGAAAUCCUAAGGAAAUGAUUCAACUAGAGAAAAAGUUAUAGGCAUGAAGUUCUUCAUCACAGUAUUAUUUACAAUCACAUAAAACUGUAAACUACCUAAAUGUCCUAUAAUAAUGGAAUCUUUAAGUAGAUUAAAGACUAUUCAUUGAAAAAACUGUA